rnacentral:tRNA from 1 species
CGUUUUGUCCCGAAUCUUAAAGAAGUUAGUUCAUUAGCCGAUCAAACAGAUA